GACGAACGCUGGCGGCGUGCCUAAUACAUGCAAGUAGAACGCUGAAGAGAGGAGCUUGCUCUUCUUGGAUGAGUUGCGAACGGGUGAGUAACGCGUAGGUAACCUGCCUUGUAGCGGGGGAUAACUAUUGGAAACGAUAGCUAAUACCGCAUAACAAUGGAUGACCCAUGUCAUUUAUUUGAAAGGGGCAAAUGCUCCACUACAAGAUGGACCUGCGUUGUAUUAGCUAGUAGGUGAGGUAACGGCUCACCUAGGCGACGAUACAUAGCCGACCUGAGAGGGUGAUCGGCCACACUGGGACUGAGACACGGCCCAGACUCCUACGGGAGGCAGCAGUAGGGAAGCUUCGGCAAUGGGGGCAACCCUGACCGAGCAACGCCGCGUGAGUGAAGAAGGUUUUCGGAUCGUAAAGCUCUGUUGUAAGUCAAGAACGAGUGUGAGAGUGGAAAGUUCACACUGUGACGGUAGCUUACCAGAAAGGGACGGCUAACUACGUG
rnacentral:rRNA from 1 species